rnacentral:rRNA from 1 species
CCUACGGGUGGCAGCAGUGGGGAAUAUUGCACAAUGGGGGAAACCCUGAUGCAGCAACGCCGCGUGAGUGAAGAAGUAUUUCGGUAUGUAAAGCUCUAUCAGCAGGGAAGAAGAUGACGGUACCUGAUUAAGAAGCCCCGGCUACCUAAGGCCCGGCGGCCGCGGUAAGACGUAGGGGGCAGGGGUUAUCCGGAUUUACGGGGUGGAAAGGGAGCGCAGACGGCAGGGGAAGUCUGGAGUGAAAGCCCGGGGCCCAACCCCGGAACUGCUCUGGAAACUGUGCGGCUAGAGUACUGGAGGGGCAGGCGGAAUUCCUAGUGUAGCGGUGAAAUGCGUAGAUAUUAGGAGGAACACCAGUGGCGAAGGCGGCCUGCUGGACAGUAACUGACGUUGAGGCUCGAAAGCGUGGGGAGCAAACAGGAUUAGAUACCCCAGUAGUC